GUGGGGAAUCUUCCGCAAUGGACGAAAGUCUGACGGAGCGACGCCGCGUGAGUGAUGAAGGCCUUCGGGUCGUAAAGCUCUGUCGUCGGGGACGAACGGCCGCCUCAGGGAAUGGGGGCGGAGUGACGGUACCCGAGAAGGAAGCCACGGCUAACUACGUGCCAGCAGCCGCGGUAAUACGUAGGUGGCAAGCGUUGUCCGGAAUUAUUGGGCGUAAAGCGCGCGCAGGUGGGAUUUUAAGUCCAUUUUGAAAGUUCGGAGCUUAACGCCGUGGUGGGAUGGAAACUGGGAUUCUUGAGUACCGGAGAGGAAAGCGGAAUUCCCCGUGUAGCGGUGAAAUGCGUAGAUAUGGGGAGGAACACCAGUGGCGAAGGCGGCUUUCUGGACGGUGUCUGACACUGAGGCGCGAAAGCCAGGGGAGCGAACGGGAUUAGAUACCCGAGUAGUCC
rnacentral:rRNA from 1 species